AUGUAUCUGGAUGGGUAUCUCUUUCUCUCUCUUACUCUCGCUCUCUCUGAGUUUCUCUCUCCGUCCCCCUUCUCUCGCGACCUUUCUCAGUGUACAGAACACAGCAGUUGUGACUCUGCAGGACAAUUUGAGGUAUCAGAGGGGGUCAGUUCACCGCUGUGCCUGCCCUCUACUGCCCUGCCCUGUCCAUCCCAGCUAAAUCCAACCCAUCCCUUUCCUGCCCUGACCUCUUCUCCCCUGCCCAGCUCUGCUCACCCCAGCCCAGGGCCAUUUCAACUCUGCCAGUCAGUUAGCAUAUCAGUACUAAGCACUAAUACUCUACACUAACACUCUCUGGGACGAUUUCCCCAACAGAAAUUAUCCUAGACCUUGAGCAUGGUUUUUAGUCCAUGACUAAGCUUAAUCUGUGUCUGGGAAGCCCUCCCCCUGACCCUCCCCAUGGACAGAUCAGCAAAUAGGGGAUAAAUCAGUGGACCAGAUCGGUCAGUGGAGGACUGCUCAGUCUUGUCAUGCUUGGCUGACUAUUUCACAGAGAGAAACAUGUUUAUAGGAUAAAUGUAAAAGGACAAUAUGGCCAUUUCAGAUCGUCUACGUGUACAACUGAGAAAGUACAGUUUAACAUAUGUACACUAGUACAACUCUGUGAUGAUAACUAACUUUCAGAGUUUCACUUGCAUUGAUUUAUGAAUAAAUCAAAUCCAAGUCGUCAAUCACAGCAUAAUGCAAUGCAGACACUCCAUCUUUCUCUCUUUCACAAGAACUGAAUUGAUUAUAUUGUAAACUUUUCAUUAUAAACACCUAUUUCUCUCUCUCUCUCUUCUAGCGGGUGUAGCGGGCUUGAAGCCUUCAGGGAGCUGCCACGGGAACAGCUGGCCCUUCUCUGCAUACCUGACAACAUAAACCAACAACAACAACAAACACUCACUAUAGUAUUUCUGCUUCAAAAACAUGUUCAUUAAGAAACACAACAAAUACUUCCCACACUAGCUAUGCUUCAAACAUUAAGGAAUUCUGGAAUAAAUACUGCCCAGAUCCUCAAUAAGGUCUGACUGCGGCCCAAGACCAGGAUAACUCCAGGGAUGAACCGCCCAGGGAAACCAAUCCCCCUUGUCGCCGUCAGACCCUUCUCCACAUACUAGCUAU
rnacentral:lncRNA from 13 species